UUCGCCCUUAGAGUUUGAUCCUGGCUCAGGAUAAACGCUGGCGGCGUACAUAAGACAUGCAAGUCGAACGAGCAGAAACUGGAAGAUUUAUCUACUAGUGGAGCUAGUGGCGGAUGGGUGAGUAACACGUAAGCAACCUACCUAGCAGAGGGGAAUAACAGUGAGAAAUCAUUGCUAAAACCGCAUACCUUGAAACAUAGGCAUCUAUGAAUCAAGAAAAGAGUAAUCUGCUGUUAGAUGGGCUUGCGCCUGAUUAGCUAGUUGGUGAGAUAAUAGCUCACCAAGGCGACGAUCAGUAGCCGAACUGAGAGGUUGAACGGCCACAUUGGGACUGAGACACGGCCCAGACUCCUACGGGAGGCAGCAGUCGGGAAUAUUGCACAAUGGAGGGAACUCUGAUGCAGUGACGCCGCGUAUAGGAAGAAGGUUUUCGGAUUGUAAACUAUUGUCAUGUGGGAAGAAAAUGACGGUACCACAAGAGGAAGCCCCGGCUAAAUAUGUGCCAGCAGCCGCGGUAAUACAUAUGGGGCGAGCGUUAUCCGGAUUUAUUGGGUGUAAAGGGUGUGUAGGCGGACUUUAAAGUUGGUUGUGAAAUCCCUCGGCUUAACUGAGGAACUGCAACCAAAACUAAAAGCCUUGAGUGUUAGAGAGGAAAGUGGAAUUCCUAGUGUAGCGGUGGAAUGCGUAAAUAUAUGGAGGACCACCAGUGGGCGAAGGCGGCUUGCUGGGGCCUAUCUGACGCUGAGGCACGAAAGCGUGGGGAGCAAACAGGAUUAGAUACCCUGGUAGUCCACGCCGUAAACGAUGAGUACUAAGUGUCGGGAGAACCCGGUGCUGCAGUUAACGCAUUAAGUACUCCGCCUGAGUAGUACGUGCGCAAGCAUAAAACUCAAAGGAAUAGGCGGGACCUCGCACAAGCGGUGGAUCAUGUUGUUUAAUUCGACGAUACGCGAAGAACCUUACCAGGCCUCGACAUACCGAGCGAUGCUAUGGAGACAUAGUGGAGGUUAACUGGGAUACAGGUGGUGCAUGGUUGUCGUCAGCUCGUGUCGUGAGAUGUUGGGUUAAGUCCCGCAACGAGCGCAACUCUUAUCGCUAAUUGCCAUCAUUAAGUUGGGGACUUUAGCGAGACUGCCAGCGACAAACUGGAGGAAGGUGAGAAUGACGUCAAAUCAUCAUGCCCCCUAUGGCCUGGGCUACAAACGUGAUACAAUGGUUGGUACAAAGGGAGGCAACGCCGUGAGGCCAAGCGAACCCCAUAAAACCAAUCUCAGUUCGGAUUGAAGUCUGCAACUCGACUUCAUGAAGUCGGAAUCGCUAGUAAUCGUAGAUCAGAACGCUACGGUGAAUACGUUCUCGAGGUUUGCACACACCGCCCGUCA
rnacentral:rRNA from 1 species